GAUGAACGCUGGCGGCGUGCCUAAUACAUGCAAGUCGAGCGAACAGACGAGGAGCUUGCUCCUCUGACGUUAGCGGCGGACGGGUGAGUAACACGUGGAUAACCUACCUAUAAGACUGGGAUAACUUCGGGAAACCGGAGCUAAUACCGGAUAAUAUAUUGAACCGCAUGGUUCAAUAGUGAAAGACGGUUUUGCUGUCACUUAUAGAUGGAUCCGCGCCGCAUUAGCUAGUUGGUAAGGUAACGGCUUACCAAGGCAACGAUGCGUAGCCGACCUGAGAGGGUGAUCGGCCACACUGGAGCUGAGACACGGUCCAAACUCCUACGGGAGGCAGCAGUAGGGAAUCUUCCGCAAUGGGCGAAAGCCUGACGGAGCAACGCCGCGUGAGUGAUGAAGGUCUUCGGAUCGUAAAACUCUGUUAUUAGGGAAGAACAAAUGUGUAAGUAACUAUGCACGUCUUGACGGUACCUAAUCAGAAAGCCACGGCUAACUACGUG
rnacentral:rRNA from 1 species